UACGUAGGCAGCAAGCGUUGUUCGGAGUUACUGGGCGUAAAGGGUGCGUAGGCGGUCGGGUAAGUCUGAUGUGAAAUCUCACAGCUUAACUGUGAAACUGCAUUGGAUACUAUCCGGCUCGAGGAAUGGAGGGGAGACUGGAAUACUUGGUGUAGCAGUGAAAUGCGUAGAUAUCAAGUGGAACACCAGUGGCGAAGGCGAGUCUCUGGACAUUUCCUGACGCUGAGGCACGAAAGCCAGGGGAGCAAACGGG
rnacentral:rRNA from 1 species